rnacentral:rRNA from 1 species
UACGGAGGGUGCGAGCGUUAAUCGGAAUAACUGGGCGUAAAGGGCACGCAGGCGGGCUUUUAAGUGAGAUGUGAAAUCCCCGGGCUUAACCUGGGAAUAGCAUUUCAGACUGGGAGUCUAGAGUACUUUAGGGAGGGGUAGAAUUCCAUGUGUAGCGGUGAAAUGCGUAGAUAUAUGGAGGAACACCAGUGGCGAAGGCGGCUCUCUGGUCUGUGACUGACGCUCAGGUGCGAAAGCGUGGGGAGCAAACAGG